GUCUGAACUCAAUCAGGUAGGAUUACCCGCUGAAUUUAAGCAUAUUAAUAAGCGGAGGAAAAGAAACUAACAAGGAUUCCCUUAGUAACGGCGAGUGAAGCGGGAACAGCUCAAGCUUGAAAUCGGUAUCUGUUUUACAAAUAUCGAAUUGUAGCUUUUGGAAACAGCUUUAAGCCGCUGAUUGCAGUAAAAGUUCUUUUGAAUAAGACAUCAAAGAGGGUGAUAAUCCCGUCCUUGACUGUGAUUUAAGUGGUGAUGUAAACUGUUUUCUGUGAGUCGGGUUGUUUGGGAUUGCAGCCCUAAUUGGGAGGUAAAUUUCUUCCAAAGCUAAAUAUUAGUAAGAGACCGAUAGCAAACAAGUACCGUGAGGGAAAGAUGAAAAGCACUUUGAAAAGAGAGUGAAAAGUACGUGAAAUUGUUGAAAGGGAAGCGGUUAGUAGCCAAGCAUUUUUUUGCGAGUGAAACUUGUUUCGCUUGUAAAAGGUCAACAUCGAUUGCUUUAAGAACCAAAAGGGUAGGACGUGCGGCAUCUCAAUGAAGGAAUGUAGGGAGACGUGUUGCGUGGGUUCGCCUGCGAGUUACGGCACAUUUCUUGUUAUAGCCUUUGAAAGAUGCUUUUAAGCCUUAAUUUUGGUGGCGAUCGAGGAUAAUGGUGUGUUUUGGGAAAAUUUAUUUUCCUGGUGGAAAUUUGGUUUCGAGUUAUUGUGGUGCUCUUGGUAGACAGCAUGCUGACUAUCUCGAGUUAUUUGCAGUUCUGGGGGCCAUGUUUACUAAUAAACACCUAGGAUGUUGAUGAAAAGGCACUAACCGGCCCGUCUUGAAACACGGACCAAGGAGUCCAACAUGCAUGCGAGUAUCUGGGAAUAUAUAAACCCAUAUGCGCAAUGAAAGUGAAUUAGUAGAAACUUUUAUUAGAAUGCUACCAGGAGAAAUUCUGGACAACAUCGACCGAUUUUCGAUAGCGUUGCUUGAAGAGAUUGAGUAAGAGCAUGUAUGCUGGGACCCGAAAGAUGGUGAACUAUGCCUGAAUAGGGUGAAGUCAGAGGAAACUCUGAUGGAGGCUCGUAGCGAUUCUGACGUGCAAAUCGAUCGCCAAAUUUGGGUAUAGGGGCGAAAGACUAAUCGAACCAUCUAGUAGCUGGUUCCUGC
rnacentral:rRNA from 1 species